rnacentral:rRNA from 1 species
UACGUAGGGACCAAGCGUUGUUCGGAUUUACUGGGCGUAAAGGGCGCGUAGGCGGCAUGACAAGUCACUUGUGAAACUCUCUGGGCUUAACCCAGAACGGCCAAGUGAUACUGUCGCGCUAGAGUGCGGAAGGGGCAAUCGGAAUUCUCGGUGUAGCGGUGAAAUGCGUAGAUAUCGGGAGGAACACCAGUGGCGAAGGCGGCUUGCUGGGCAUGGGUCUGACGCUGAGGCGGCGAA